CAAUCAAGCUCCAGAUGCAUUUGUUUGAGUAGCCUCCACCUCCUUAUGGACUCAAUAAAUGUAUCACGAUAUGGCAUUGCUCACUGGGAAUGCAGAUCCUGAGUUCAGCUCCUACUCCUUCAAUAACUUGGAAAACCUGUGUGAAGUGCAAACCAAGAAAGGAUUCUUCUACAAAAAGGCCAAACUUCUGCACCCUGGGGAAGACUUGUGCUGCUUCGCCCACCUGGAUGACCGGACCAGGUUUGUGAUUAUCAACGUGGGUGGUAUUAAAUACAAAGUUCCAUGGACCACCUUGGAGAACUGCCCCUUGACCAGGCUUGGGAAGCUAAAAUCUUGCAACAAUUACGAUGAGAUCAUGAACGUCUGCGAUGAUUAUGAUGUUAGCUGCAAUGAAUUUUUUUUUGAUCGUAACCCUAGUGCCUUCAGGACGAUCGUGACUUUCCUGACAGCUGGGAAGCUGAGGCUUCUCAGGGAGAUGUGCGCUCUUUCUUUUCAGGAGGAGCUUGUGUACUGGGGGAUAGAAGAGGACCACCUGGAGUGGUGCUGUAAAAAGAGAUUGCGACAGAAAGAGGAGGAGGCAGCUGAGGCCAGGCUGUAUGAAGGGGAGAUGAUUUUUAGUGAAACUGCGCAAUGUGCCUUCCAGGACAAUAAUCGAUUGAGUUUGUGCAUGAGAAAGCUCAGGGAUAUGGUGGAGAACCCCCACUCAGGGAUCCCAGGGAAGAUCUUUGCUUGUAUUUCAGUCUCUUUCGUUGCCAUCACUGCAGUCAGCCUCUGCAUCAGCACCAUGCCAGAUGUCAGAGAAGAAGAAGAUCAGGUGAGUGCAGCUUUUCUCAGA